CCUUUUCAUGAAACCCUAGCCUCUCCACUUUAUAAAUAGCACCUCUAGCCUUUCUUUCUCAAGAUAUCAGCCCUCUUGUGGGGAUCAUAUCCUCCUUCUCUCCUCCAUUAAAGCUCUUUCCUUUCUCUCUUUCAAUCAAGCCAAUCCUAAGUUCUCUUCAAGCUUCUCUCUUUCUCUCUCCCUCUUUUUCUUUUCCAUAAGCCUAGGGAAAGUACUAACCCUAGCACGAUACCAUAUUCUUCUACAGAUCUCUUAUCCACAUCCCAUCAAAUCUAGGAGAGGUUUUAAUCCUAGUGUCACUACCC
rnacentral:lncRNA from 1 species